AAUGCGAAAGUAGCAAUACUAGUAGCAUGGCGAAAGGGAUAGUAAUGCAUGAGCAAUCUACCCUCGACUCUGGGAUAUGCGGUAGAAAUGCCGAGUAAUACUGGACGCCGAUGCGAUGGGACAUCCCAAUGUAUCGAAAGGUCCGCCGGUCGAGGAGGAGCUCAUGUCCUAUCAGCUUGUUGGCGGGGUAACGGCCCACCAAGGCGAGGACGGGUAGCGGGUGUGAGAGCACGACCCGCAUCACUGGCACUGAGACACUGGCCAGACUCCUACGGGAGGCUGCAGUCGAGAAUCUUCGGCAAUGGACGAAAGUCUGACCGAGCGACGCCGCGUGGAGGAUGAAGGCCUUCGGGUUGUAAACUCCUGUUGGGAGGGAGCAAAUUUUGAGCGACCUCCUGAGGAAGCACGGGCUAAGUUCGUGCCAGCAGCCGCGGUAAGACGAACCGUGCGAACGUUAUUCGGAAUCAUUGGGCUUAAAGGGCGCGUAGGCGGCGAUAUAAGUUGGAAGUGAAAUCCCAUCGGCUCAACCGUGGAAUAGCUCCCAGUACUGUAUCGCUCGAGGGGGAUAGGGGUCUGCGGAACUACCGGUGGAGCGGUGAAAUGUGUUGAUAUCGGUGGGAACGCCAGUGGCGAAAGCGGCGGACUUGACCCUUCCUGACGCUGAGUGCGCGAAAGCUAGGGGAGCAAACGGGAUUAGAUACCCCGGUAGUCCUAGCCUUAAACGUUGGGUACUGAGUAGUAAGGGGACCGAUACCUCCUACUGCUGAAGCGAAAGUGUUAAGU
rnacentral:rRNA from 1 species